UGUAAAGGUGAAGGGAUAGAAGUUGAUAUAAACAGAUCAAUAUUUACCUGGAUGUAUCAAUAUCGUUACCCGAUUAUAGCAGUUAUAAUAUCGAGGAUCGAUAGCACUGGAAAAGAGGAAGACGAUCUGGGGUAUUGGUAUCAGAAUAAAUUUGUACCCGAACCAUUAUUUAAAGGCAGACUGGUAUUUAAUAUAACAGAGGUGGCUGAUGACAGAAGGCAGAUAACUCUUGUUUUAAUUGAUACAUCCGAAAGUGACUUUAAUUUAACAUACAUAUGUAGAGUGAUACCAGGUGAUGGCCACUUUUGUCAGUGUCGAUUGCAACUUAACGAUGUCGAUGAUUUAAACCACGACAACUAUACGGCUAUUACUAAUGUAACCAAACCACGUGACAAGAUCGUGUCAUCUACAAACUCCAGUCCAAUUAUUGUCGUGGCUGUUAUAAUUCCAGUACUAGUAAUAAUCUUUAUACUGACGACGAUUCUUGUAGUACGCAAUAGACAAAAUGCUCCUAUCCCUCUUCAAUGUAAUGAAAAAGAACCAUGUAGUAGUAACCAUGAUAGUAGUAAUUGUAAUACGAAAGAAAAAACCCAUUAGUAGUAUCAGUGAUGGUGGUAUUUGCGAUAUGGGAGAAGUGAUAUCUUUGUCACCUUCUGGGUAAUAUAAUUUAUAUUUUGAAAUGUAUUAUGUAGGUAUCAGAAUUAAUUUUGUAAUGUGCGUUAACUUUAGUUGUAGAAUGAUUUUAUAAUACGAUCAUGUGACAAUGAGAUUUCCGUUUUGGCGUAAGGUCAAUAAACGAUAGUAAGUACAGAUGUAUGUAAUGUUUUGACAAUGAGUCAUUAAUAUGUUUGUUUUAACCAGAAUCUCUUUUAGUUGGAUAAAAUAUUCUAUUUCUGUAAACGUAAAGGAUGUUUCUAUUGUAAAAUCACCACGUUUUUAGUUCACAAUUGGAGGGUCUUGGACACUAACACCUGAUUUAGUUUGUAGUUAGAUCAGUUUUUAUUAUGGAGAUUAUAUGAUAAAACUGCCCGAUAUAUUUAUGAAACUUUGUACGCCCGUCAAAUUAUGUCGUUUGCCAAGUCGAAAUAUCUGCGUUGAAUAAUUUUACAGUUUAUAUGGAAUCAAAUUUUACUAUGUUAUUGGUUUUACUAUUACUUUUCUAGACAAAAUCUCAUAAAGCGUUUAAUAUAUCUUUAUGACAAUUGGUAA